AUGUACAAAAGCCUCAAAGGGCACCAAACAUUAUGUGAUGUCCUCAAAAAGCAGAUUCUGAAGCGAAACCCUAGAAAAGAGGGUAUUGGGUUCGAGGGGAAAAUGAAUGUUGAUGGGUCGUACUGGAAGCCUGAGCAGUACCCCAAAACCACAUGGGUUGCUGCGAAGGAAUCUUCAGUAGAUCCAUCCACCUUAUCUGGUUUCACUUGCACUAACCCUAUUAUCAUUGAUGAAUCCUUUGAUGCAAACUAUAAACUGUUUAAGAAUCAGAAUGGUGAAGUGUUUGCCAGGUAUAUUGGUACUAACUGCAUGAAUGGACCACCUAUGAAGAAGAUCUGGGUACCUAAACAGUGUAUUGAGAAUCUUCCUGUGAAUGUCAUCAUGACACCACCAAGGAAGAAGACAAACCCCAGACCUAUGGCUUCAUAUGGCCCAAAGGCUUCAUACAGAUAUAGGACUCACCUGAGUCACCCUAACGCCAAUGUUUUGUAG
rnacentral:rRNA from 1 species